rnacentral:rRNA from 1 species
UCCUACGGGAGGCAGCAGUGGGGAAUCNUAGACAAUGGGCGCGAGCCUGAUCCAGCCAUGCCGCGUGUGUGAUGAAGGCCUUCGGGUUGUAAAGCACUUUUGUUGGGAAGAAGGGCAUCUUUCUAAUACCGGGAGGUUCUGACGGUACCUGCAGAAUAAGCACCGGCUAACUNCGUGCCAGCAGCCGCGGUAAUACGUAGGGUGCAAGCGUUAAUCGGAAUUACUGGGCGUAAAGCGUGCGCAGGCGGUUUGGUAAGACAGGUGUGAAAUCCCCGGGCUCAACCUGGGAACUGCAUUUGUAACUGCCGGACUAGAGUACGUCAGAGGGGGGUGGAAUUUCACUGUGUAGCAGUGAAAUGCGUAGAUAUGUGGAGGAACACCGAUGGCGAAGGCAGCCCCCUG